AUACGUAGGGGGCGAGCGUUGUCCGGAAUGAUUGGGCGUAAAGGGCGCGUAGGCGGCUUUGCAAGUCAGUAGUGGAAGUCCAUUUUUCAAGGAUGGAAGUGCUACAGAAGCUGCGGAGCUUGAGUGCAGGAGAGGUUAUCGGAAUUCCCGGUGUAGCGGUGAAAUGCGUAGAGAUCGGGAGGAACACCAGUGGCGAAGGCGGGUAACUGGACUGCAACUGACGCUGAGGCGCGAAAGUGUGGGGAGCAAACAGGAUUAGAUACCCUGGUAGUCCACACUGUAAACGAUGAAUGCUAGGUGUAGGAGGUAUCGACCCCUUCUGUGCCGCAGUAAACACAGUAAGCAUUCCGCCUGGGGAGUACGGUCGCAAGAUUAAAACUCAAAUGAAUUGACGGGG
rnacentral:rRNA from 1 species